GUUUUAUUAUCCUUGCAGUCGUUUUGAUAUACUUUAUGUAUAAGGGUUGUUGACCGAAAACCUCGAGGUUAAUCUAUAAGAUUUUGUAAGAUUCUUUUAAAUGAAUAAGUAUAUAGUGUAUAAAGAAUGUUUUUAAAGUACGGGUUCCAAAUGAUAUUAGUCCUUGUCCGGACGAACCAACUAUUUGGUAUUACUCUUAAGGUUGUAAAGCCUCGGGUUGUACCUAAUAGGAUAUGUGUACUUAGGCGGUUGGCCUAAGGUACCUGGAUUUAUUUCGGGAACUUCGGGUUAGUCGUUUAUGUACACAUUGUGGCUUCUCGGUUUGGUUUCAGUUACGAGUGAUCGGCUGUGCAUGUUCUUGUUUGAUUGUUGCACGGCUGGUCGAGUAAACUUAUACUUAGACCAGAUCGGGGUGUCACAGUCGGGGCAUUAAGUAUUUCAUAGUCGAGGUGAAAUUCUUGGAUUUAUGAAAGACGAACAACUGAAAAAAGCAUUUGCCAAGGAUGUUUUCAUUAAUCAAGAACGAAAGUUGGGGGCUGAAGACGAUCAGAUACCGUCCUAGUCUCAACCAUAAACGAUGCCGACCAGGGAUCAGCGGAUGUUGCUUUUAGGACUCCGCUGGCACCUUAUGAGAAAUCAAAGUUUUUGGGUUCCGGGGGGAGUAUGGUCGCAAGGCUGAAACUUAAAGGAAUUGACGGAAGGGCACCACCAGGAGUGGAGCCUGCGGCUUAAUUUGACUCAACACGGGGAAACUUACCAGGUCAAGACAUAGUAAGGAUUGACAGACUGAGAGCUCUUUCUUGAUUCUAUGGAUGGUGGUGCAUGGCCGUUCUUAGUUGGUGGAGCGAUUUGUCUGGUUAAUUCCGUUAACGAACGAGACCUCAGCCAGCUAACUAGCUACGUGGAGGCAUCCCUUCACGGCCGGCUUCUUAGAGGGACUAUGGCCGUUUAGGCGAAGGAAGUUUGAGGCAAUAACAGGUCUGUGAUGCCCUUAGAUAUUCGGGUCGCGACGCGGCGCUUACACUGAUGUAUUCAACGAGUUCACACCUUGGCCGACAGGCCCGGUAAUCUUUGAAAUUUCAUCGUGAUGGGGAUAGAUCAUUGCAAUUGUUGGUCUUCAACGAGGAAUUCCUAGUAAGCGAGUCAUCAGCUCGCGUUGACUACACCCCCCCGCCCUUUGUACACACCGCCCGUUGCUCUACCGAUUGAAUGAUCCGGUGAAGUGUUCGGAUCGCGGCAACAUGGGUAGUUCGCCGUCUGCGACGCCGCGAGAAGUCCACUAAACCUUCUCAUUUAGAGGAAGGAGAAGUCAGUAACAAGGUUUCCGUAGGUGAACCUGCGGAAG
rnacentral:rRNA from 1 species